rnacentral:lncRNA from 10 species
CACAGCGGCCUUGGGUUUGGGCUCCAGCCCCAGCCGGGCCCCCUCGCGCCGCUGCGGCUGCUGCGCGGUGAGGUCGUGACAAGUCACAGCUAACUUGCCCUCCGCGCCAUUCCACGCCACCAGGAAGCGCAGCCGGUGCCUCUCGGCAUCGGCGAAGAGGCCUUGCCGGACCGGCGCCCAGCCCUCCAGGCUGUCGAGCUGCUCGUCCUCCAUGGCCGUCGGCGGCAGCGGCCCUAGGACUCGGCGGGCGCGGGCCUGACCUCGUCGCACUGCCUGUCAGGGGACAGUCCCAGGCUGGAGUGCAAUGGCAUGAUCUCGGCUCACUGCGACCUCUGCCUCUUGGGUUCAAGCGAUUUUCUUGCCUCAGCCUUCGCAGUAGCUGGGAUUACAGGCAUAACUGAAGGUGAAAGGACAGAAUCACCGUGUGUUACUGGCACAGAUGCAUCGGCUAGUGAAGAAAGAAGACAUUCAAACUGGCUGAAGCAGUGCCUACUCAAUAGAACCAGUCAUCGUGCAAAGACAUGCCACCUGACUCAAAGGCAAAGCCAGAGUGCAGCUUGGAGCAAAGAAGUUUGUGUUGAAGGAGAAACUAACAACGAAAAUGGACUUGUUGACGGAAGAAAAGUAGGAAUGCAGCCUCUGGUGCUGUUUGAGUGAUCCCUCUGCCCCAGGCCUGGCUGCGCGCUGCUGUGUUCUGGAAAGGCGCAUUGUGCCCUCGCUGUGGCAGGUAAGAGUCCUGUACAGGUGCUCUGCCCACUUUACCUUUCAGGCUUCUGUAUCAGCUGUUUUUCCCUUGUAGAAUGUGCCCCUGACCUGUGCCCCUGACUUCCACCCCUUAACCCUGCCCAAUACAUCUUUACAUGUCUGACCAUCAAGACUCUUCUGGGUCAUAUUCAGUUCAUGCUGAUAUUUUCCCUUCCUCCCCUCUUUAGUCCUUACUAUUUUUGCUUUGGUCAUGUUAUGCUAUAUUCUGUAAGCCUUUAAAAAUUUUGUUGUAUCAUGGCAGGGGAGAAUAUUUUAUAAUUAUGCUUUGUGCGUUUUAUCUUCCACUCAAUGAAUGCUUGGUAAAUAUUUGUUUUAUUGAGUAUAUGACCCUUUUCUAGCUAUACCGUGAACAAAAAUGUUAACUGCCUUGUACGUUAACUGCUAAGAAUUUGUCAAAAGUGCAGAGAUGACAUCCAGAACUUGUCAGAAUAUUACAAAAAGGUCUCUAAGGGCAUGAUGGAGGUCUGUAAAUUGACUUCAUGUGAAAGAGUGUAAGAAGUGAAAAUGUGAAGCAUGACUGGAGAGCCGGAGUGAUAAAGCAAGGGUCCCUUUCUCUAGAUCCUUUGUAACAGUGUCAUGUGACCUCUUCUAGAUCAUUCUGAAAGACAAUGCCAGCUCGGAACCUAGGAAAGCAUCCAGUGGGUUUCUGCAUGUUAGGUGGUUCAAAUCCUCAUUAGCACCUUUGUUUUCUCUGCCUCAGUUUGCUUACAGUGAUGUUCUCAGUAGCUGUAAUUGCUGUCUGUCUUUGAAUAUUUAAGCAUUUUUUUUUUUUAGAUCACAGGGUAUAUGUGCAUUUUUAUUUUACCAAGUGUUAGAAUUUUUACUCUGCCUUUGUGGGCUCUGGGUUAGCUACUUGGCUGUUUCAUCGUAAAAUGAUUAGCAGGAAAAACUGUGUGUGUGUGUGUGUGUGUGUGUGUGUGUGUGUGUGUGUGUGCACGUGUGUAUUUUAAGUUUCUUAAUUGGGUUGGUACAUGUAAACCAUUUAGAACAGUGCCUGCUGCAUAUCACAUCCCCAUCAGUAUUCACGUCUCUCAUAUUCUACCCUCACACUUGAUUGAUAGUUUGCUUGAUUACGUAUUUCUAGGUUGAGGAUAAUUUUACCUUAGAAUUUCAAAGUCUGUGCUGUUGUCUUCUAACCAGUCGUGGUGGCGAAGCCUCAUGCCAUCCUGAGUUUCACUUGUUUAUGCAUGACUUUCUCCCUGGAAGCUUUUAGGAGUUUGUCUUUUCCUUGGUGAGCUGAAAUAGCACAACAGUGUACUUAGUGUGGGUCUUUUUUCAUUCAUUAUGCUGGGUACACCAAAUGAACAGGCCUAUGGAUAGGCUCUUUCAAAGUUGGAGUCUUGAAUCUUGUCAUAUUUUUGUUGUUAACUUUCUCUUUUCCAUUUUAUUUGUUCAUUUGGAAGUGUCUGUUAAUUGGAUUUGAGACCUCUUGUCUUGAGUCUUAUAUCUCACGUUAUUUCUAAAUGUUUUUUAAAUUUUCAGUUCUGGAAUAUUUUCUUAUCUUUCGACUUUCAGGAAAUUUUAUUUGGACUGUCAUAACUUUAAGUUUUGUUUUGGUUAUUUAUUGUUGCUUAACCAAUUAUCCCAAAACUUAAUGGCCUAAAACUACACAUCUGUCUAUCUGUCACGACUGUAUGGAUUACCUGGGGCUAGCUGGACAGUUUUUCUGCUGGUCUCAUUUGGCAGCUCUCACUGUGUGGUUAAACAGUGUCAGGGACUGGUCAUCUGGAUGCUCAGCUGCAGUGGAAUGUCUGAGACGGCUUCUUUACCCACAGGUCUGCUGCCUUGGUAAUUCUUGAUGUGGCCUUUCUCUCUGCAUAGCAUCUCAUCCUCUCGGAUCUCUUCAUGUGGCUUUUCUUUCUCCAAGAAGGUAGCCAAUUCUUAUUUUUGGCUUCCAGAAGCACAGAAAUGGAGCUGCCAGGAGUUCUUAAGGCUUAGACCUGGAACAGGUCCAGUGUCAUUUCUACCACAUGCUAUAGGUUAAAGUGAGUGUUGGGGCCAACCCAGAUUGACUAUGGGAUGGGCCUGUCUGAGGACAUGAUGACAGGAGGUAUGGCUCAUUGGAGACCAACUCCCAAGAUGGAGCAUGAGUUCUAAGAACUUUUUCUUCUCUGAUUAUUUCUUAUUCAUAUUGUUUUGUUUUAUACAUGUAAUAUAUUCACAAGUGUCUUUAUGAAGUGAUUUUGAUACUC